rfam:Angiostrongylus cantonensis strain Taiwan genome assembly, scaffold: ACAC_contig0009232
GACCGCUUGGCGCAAUGGUAGAGCGUUCGACUCCAGAUCGAAAGAUGGGCGUUCGAUGCGCUCAGUGGUCA